GUGCUUCCUUCGGCAGCACAUAUAUUAAAAUUGGAAUGAUACAGAGAAGAUGUACAAAGAUGACGUGAAUUUGUGAAGCAUUUAUUUUU
rnacentral:snRNA from 1 species